UGCUGAGGAGUCCCACAAUAGGACGAAACGGCCGUCCA
rfam:Schistosoma mansoni strain Puerto Rico chromosome 1, complete genome